rnacentral:misc_RNA from 1 species
ACAAACUUGGUCAUUUAGAGGAAGUAAAAGUCGUAACAAGGUUUCCGUAGGUGAACCUGCGGAAGGAUCAUUACCGAGUUUUGGGAUUCGUCCCUACUCCAACCCUAUGUUUACAGACACGUUGCUUUGGCGGGCCGGGACCUCGUCCCACCGGCUCAGGCUGGACAGAGCCCGCCAGCGGCCAUUUGAAAUUCUCUGAUCUGAAAUCUGAGCAUGAUCAAAAUGAAUCAAAACUUUCAACAACGGAUCUCUUGGUUCUGGCAUCGAUGAAGAACGCAGC